AAAAAGUUUUAUUCUAGCUUAGGAAUUAAGUAUUAUUUUUAUUUAUAUGUAAAUUUUAAUGAAAAAAGCUUAUUUUUUAAAUAAAUAUAAGCUUAAAAUUUAGUCGCAGUAAAUAAUAUUAAAUAUAAAAGAAAUUUCGAUUUAGAAAUAAUAUUAAAUAUUGACAAUAUUUGUGCCAGCAGUUGCGGUUAGACAAAUAAUGUAACUUAAUUAUAUUUAGAUAGAAUUAUUUUAAAAAUAUUAAAUUUAAAUUUUAAUAAAAUUAGGUGAAAUUUUUUUAUUGAUAAAGAAUUAUAAUUAGUUUAAGAAGUUACAGAAAUUUUUAUAAUAAACUAGGAUUAGAUACCCUAUUAUAAAUUAUGUAAAUAUUAAUACUAAAUUAGUAAUAGAUAUGUUCUUGAAAAUUAAAGAUUUUGGCGGUAUUUUAGUCUAUUCAGAGGAGUCUGUUCUAUAAUUGAUAAUCCACGAUUAAAUUUACUUAUAUUAAUUAGUUUGUAUAUCGUCGUAAUAGAAUAUUUUAAAAGAAUAUAAUAUACAAAAUUUUUAAUUAAAAAAUAAAUCAGAUCAAGGUGCAGUUUAUAUAUAAGAAGAAAUGGAUUACAAUAAAUUAUAUUUAUGGAUAUAAAUUUUAAAAAUUUAUUGAAAUUGGAUUUGAUAGUAAUUUUUUUAUAAUAAAAAAAUGAUUUAAGCUCUAAAGUAUGCACAUAUCGCCCGUCGCUUUCAUAUAAAAUGAAAUAAGUCGUAACAAAGUAGGCCUACUGGAAAGUGGGCCUAGAAAGA
rnacentral:ncRNA from 1 species